rnacentral:ncRNA from 1 species
CAAAGGCUUGGUCCUGACCUUACUGUCAACUAUAACUGAACUUACACAUGCAAGUCUCCGCACCCCUGUGAGAAUGCCCUCAUAUUCCUGCCCGGAAGAGAGGAGAUGGUAUCAGGCACAAUACGUAUUAGCCGACGACACCUUGCACAGCCACGCCCCCAAGGGUAAUCAGCAGUGAUAAACAUUAAGCUAUAAGUGAAAACUUGACUUAGUUAAAGUUAUUAGGGCCGGUAAAUCUCGUGCCAGCUACCGCGGUUACACGGGGGAGCCCAAGUUGAUAGCCUACGGCGUAAAGGGUGGUUAAGAGAACAACAUAAACUAAAGUCGAAUGCCCCCAAGGCCGUUGUACGCAUACGGGGGUGCGAAGCACAACUACGAAAGUGACUUUAAAUACACUGAGCCCACGAAAACUAAGGCACAAACUGGGAUUAGAUACCCCACUAUGCUUGGUUGUAAACAAAGAUAGCGUAAUACUACACUAUCCGCCCGGGUACUACGAGCACCAGCUUGAAACCCAAAGGACUUGGCGGUGCUUCAGACCCACCUAGAGGAGCCUGUUCUAGAACCGAUAAUCCCCGUUCAACCUCACCCCUCCUUGCAAUUUCAGCCUAUAUACCUCCGUCGCCAGCCUACCCCCUGAGAGUUUAAUAGUAGGCUCAAUUGGCACAGCCCAGUACGUCAGGUCGAGGUGUAGCCUAUGUAGGGGGAAGAAAUGGGCUACAUUUUCUUAUCAAGAAAACACGGACUGAGGGAUGAAAUGCCCUCUCCAAGGCGGAUUUAGCAGUAAGAAGGAAAUAGAGUGUCCUGCUGAAACUGGCUCUGAAGCGCGCACACACCGCCCGUCACUCUCCCCUAGACACCUAUAAAAACGUACCUAACAAGCUAAACAUGUAGCAGGGGAGACAAGUCGUAACAUGGUAAGUGUACCGGAAGGUGUACUUGGACAAACCC